UUCCGCAGCUCGGGGCAGUAGUGUACCGGCUGUCUCUUGCGAUACGUGAAAUUCUUCCAAAGCAGCAACAUCAGCUGUGUCCGGAAAGCCAUGGGCUCCCAGAAGUUCGGACCGAACCAGGUGAUGAGCAGAAGUGGAAACUGAGCCCAAGAAGGGGCACGUACAGCGGGAGACCGAGCCCA